CACAAUCUGUUAAUGAAUAACCAACACACACUGUAUUAUUCAUGAGAAGUGAAAAAUGACUUAUUUAUGGAUUUUAAUUUUGAUUUUCUGCACCAUGUGUUCAGUCCAUCCUGGUAGACACUGGGUUACUGCACAAUCUGUCACAAAGCCACCAGUUAACCAGCUUGAUAAAGAGCUCAGUGUGAAUAUCGGAAAGUCUGCUGUUCUGAAGUGUUGUGUUUUAGAUGAAGAAGUUGGGUUGAUGUCCUGGUUUAAGCACCAAAACAAAAAAAAACCUCAGAUGAUAGUAACAUUAUUUAAAAGUGGCGGAGAAACUUUUCACACUGGUUUCCAAAAGUCUCGUUUUCGGAUAGAAAGAUCUUCAAACUGCUGCAAAAUGAUCAUUUUAAAGCUCACUCAGUCUGAUGAAGCCAUGUACUACUGUGCAGUGACGAGACCCAACCUUGUGUUUGGAGAUGGAACUUAUUUACAAAUUAAAGGUGAUCAUGUUACUAUUGCAUCAGAAACAUCUAAAGCAGCUCUGUGUGAUCAUUCAGUGGUGUAUGAAACAACACCGCAUGGAAACAUCAAUAACACUAACACUAACAACACCACACAGCAGAACA